rnacentral:lncRNA from 1 species
CCUCUGUUUUUCCUGAUUUUGCUUUCCCGACAGGCUUGCUGCUCGAUGCCCCUGCGGGCUUGGAGCCCUUGCUGGGACCUUUGGCAGCCCCUUUCCCCGUCGAACGGGAUUUAGUCGGCGAAACCGAUUUUAUAUUAGAGACAGCUUUUGCUGUGGCCUUUUUAGGCGAUUUUGAAGCGGGAACUGCCUUUUUUGGAGGCAUUUCGACCUUCACUUAUCAAAUAUUAGC